rnacentral:rRNA from 1 species
AUGGUGUCCUUUGACUCUACAUAUGGCACCAACCAGUACAACAUGAUUUUUUGCCCAUUCACAGGAAUAAACCACCACAUGGGAUCUGUUUUUUAUGGUGCCGCCUUGAUUGUAGAUGAGAAGAUAGAGUCAUAUGAAUGGGUAUUUGAAACGUUCUUGAAAGCAAUGGAUGGGGCAGCACCAAGGCUUAUAGUAACUGAUGAAGACCAAAGCAUGAAGGUUGCAAUUGAACAGAUAAUGCCAAACACUAUCCAUAGGUUAUGCAUGUGGCACAUAAUGAGAAAGCUUCCAGAAAAGGUUGGCCCUCCAUUGAGAGAGGAUGAACAUUUCUAUAGUACAAUUAACUCAUGUGUAUGGGGCUCUGAAAACCCAGCUGAAUUUGAGGCAAAAUGA